GGRCGAACGCUGGCGGCGUGCUUAACACAUGCAAGUCGAGCGGAAAGGCCCCUUCGGGGGUACUCGAGCGGCGAACGGGUGAGUAACACGUGAGCAACCUGCCCCUGACUCUGGGAUAAGCCCGGGAAACUGGGUCUAAUACCGGAUACGACCACUGGUCGCAUGGCUUUGGUGGUGGAAAGUUUUUCGGUUGGGGAUGGGCUCGCGGCCUAUCAGCUUGUUGGUGGGGUGAUGGCCUACCAAGGCGACGACGGGUAACCGGCCUGAGAGGGCGACCGGUCACACUGGGACUGAGACACGGCCCAGACUCCUACGGGAGGCAGCAGUGGGGAAUAUUGCGCAAUGGGCGGAAGCCUGACGCAGCGACGCCGCGUGAGGGAUGACGGCCUUCGGGUUGUAAACCUCUUUCAGCAGGGACGAAGCUAACGUGACGGUACCUGCAGAAGAAGCGCCGG
rnacentral:rRNA from 1 species